rnacentral:rRNA from 1 species
GUAGUCCACCCCGUAAACGUUGGGAACUAGUUGUGGGGUCCAUUCCACGGAUUCCGUGACGCAGCUAACGCAUUAAGUUCCCCGCCUGGGGAGUACGGCCGCAAGGCUAAAACUCAAAGGAAUUGACGGGGACCCGCACAAGCGGCGGAGCAUGCGGAUUAAUUCGAUGCAACGCGAAGAACCUUACCAAGGCUUGACAUAUACGAGAACGGGCUAGAAAUAGUCAACUCUUUGGACACUCGUAAACAGGUGGUGCAUGGUUGUCGUCAGCUCGUGUCGUGAGAUGUUGGGUUAAGUCCCGCAACGAGCGCAACCCUCGUUCUAUGUUGCCAGCACGUAAUGGUGGGAAC